UCCGACUGGGACAACCACAACUCCUCCAACUGGGACAACCACAACUCCUCCAACAGGGACAACCACAACUCCUCCAACAGGGACAACCACGAGUCCAGGAACAUCGGGAGGGAGUUGGUGUGUUGCAAACCAAGGUGCUUCACCAACUGCAUUACAAGUAGCUUUAGAUUAUGCUUGUGGCUAUGGUGGUGCAGAUUGCUCUGCAAUUCAAACUGGCGGAAGUUGUUAUGAACCUAACACAAUUCAAAACCAUGCUUCCUAUGCUUUUAAUGAUUAUUACCAGAAGCACCCGGAUCCGACAAGCUGUGUUUUCGGAGGGGCAGCACAGCUUAGUAACACUGAUCCAAGUAAGAUAUCAUCUAUGGGUACUAAUGGUUCAGUUCAGUUUCGAAUAAAAUUUACUAUUAAUAUACAGUAUUCUGAUUUUUGAAAAACCGAGCUAAAGCUGGACUGAAUGCUAUAGUAAUCGACCUGAACUGAGCCAUAUCGAUUAGGAUUGGUUCGCUUCAUUGAUUUUCGAUUUUUUUUUCUCAACCCUAAGUAAUGCAAUCCAAAUAUUUCUAUUGAAAUUCGUCUCUGUAUUUCUUCAGGUACUGGAAAUUGUCAUUUCCCGGCAUCCUCGUCGACAGGGUAAUAAUCUUACAACCAAUUAUCAUGGUGCUUUAAAUUGGUUAAAUUAUCUAGUGAGCCCCUAUAAUAUAGGCUGAAAAGUAAAUAAGUCUCUUUAAUAUAAAAAGUAAGCAUUUUAUUCACUAUAAAUUUAACUUGAAGCGAAUAGGUAAAUUAUAAAGGUUAAAAAAUGCUGACUUGUAGUGUAGGAAAAAAGAAAGAAAAAAAAAUCAACACUUUCUAGAACACGGACAAUAACUAAAUUGUUUUUUUUCUCACCUCACUUUAAAACAUAACAAAUCAGCAUUUUUAACAUUUAACUUUAUUGUCAUUUGUGAUUUUACCUAUUUACUUUAAAAUUAAAUAACAAGGACUAGACUGCUCACUUUUAUAGUAGGACUAAUUCGCUCCUAAGCUUAUAGUAUAAGGACCCGUCAGAUAAUUUAAUCUUUUAAAUUUCCAGACUAAGAGAAAAGAGUAGCUUACUGUUUUUUCUUCUCAACAUGUGAACACAGUGGGAGUCCACCCUCCAACACGACACCACCAACCACCAUGUCUCCACCAAGUACUACCACGAUGGCUCCACCCUUUGGCAUGACCCCGCCAACAUUUACUGGAACAGGUGGAGAC
rnacentral:lncRNA from 1 species